AUUGAACGCUGGCGGCAUGCCUUACACAUGCAAGUCGAACGGCAGCACGGGUGCUUGCACCUGGUGGCGAGUGGCGAACGGGUGAGUAAUAUAUCGGAACGUGCCCUAGAGUGGGGGAUAACGUAGCGAAAGUUACGCUAAAACCGCAUACGACCUACGGAUGAAAGUGGGGGAUCGCAAGACCUCAUGCUCCUGGAGCGGCCGAUAUCUGAUUAGCUAGUUGGUGGGGUAAAAGCCUACCAAGGCGACGAUCGGUAGCUGGUCUGAGAGGACGACCAGCCACACUGGGACUGAGACACGGCCCAGACUCCUACGGGAGGCAGCAGUGGGGAAUUUUGGACAAUGGGGGAAACCCUGAUCCAGCAAUGCCGCGUGUGUGAAGAAGGCCUUCGGGUUGUAAAGCACUUUUGUCAGGAACGAAACGGUGGGGGCUAAUACCUCCUGCUAAUGACGGUACCUGAAGAAUAAGCACCGGCUAACUACGUGCCAGCAGCCGCGGUAA
rnacentral:rRNA from 1 species